rnacentral:lncRNA from 1 species
GAAAAAGUCUGUUCAUUUUAGAACAAAUACCAAAAUCCCUCAUAUUGCAUCUUUCCCUCUUCUCUUUGUUCACUCUAAACGUGCCAGUACCUUGGCAUCACUUGCUUGGCUUCUCACGUAGUCUGUGUGGGCUUCACAAACUGAAAUGGGACAGAGAUGUGUGUUAAGAAAAAGUAAGAAAACAUGAUUUUGAAAUCCUGUAGGAAAACUUAUGGUUCACAUGUAGUUUCUGAAAAUAACAUUUUUUUUCUCCUUUUAUGCUGCCAUGUGAUACACUGGUACUGGUGUCCCCUGAAGGCUCCAGGCCGUUGGCCAUAAGUGAUCGGAUUAGCUCAGCUAAAUGAGUGUCUGGGGGGCAGCAAGGCCAAAGUAACCCACAGCUGGAUUUACCAAGCACCACGUACAGAGAGAAGAUAUUUCUCAUGCUGAGCUACAGGAAGUUGAUGCUGAAAUGCAAUAACAGCAGAUGUUACUGGGAUGCAGUCAUAAAAUGGAGGCAAACGGGCUCUUUGUGACCAGCUCAGGCCACAGCACCGGCGUAUUUCCAGAUGGUGCAGAUGCUAUUUAUAAAGCAUUGCGCAGGGGAUCUGUUACGGGGUGCUUUACAGCCACACUUUGCAGAAGGACACGUCUGCUGUCUCAUCCAUUGAGAAAGACUCUUCCAGAGCAAAAGAGCCACAGGUCAGUGCUGCUGCUCUCAGGGGCAUGCGGUAAGAUAUCCUGUGACUGUAGCGAGGACAAAGGGAGUUGUAAAGAGCAGUUAGGAGAAAAAGCCUCCCUGAUCUGCCCAGUGUCCUGCUUCUCUCUUCGGGAUGGAAUGACAAGUUUCUGUCUGGAUUUUCUCUAG